GACAGAGGCCCCGAGCGUUAGGCGGAAUCACUGGGCUUAAAGCGUGUGUAGGCGGGCCCGUAAGUGUCUUGUGAAAUCCCACGGCUCAACCGUGGAACUGCUGGGCAUACUGCGGGUCUUGGGCCAACUAGGGGCAGCCGGAACAAGCGGUGGAGCGGUGAAAUGCGUAGAUAUCGCUUGGAACGCCAAAGGUGAAAACAGGUUGCUGGGGAUGCGCUGACACUGAGACGCGAAAGCCAGGGGAGCGAACGGG
rnacentral:rRNA from 1 species